AUGUAAUUCAGUGGUAGAGUACUUGCCUAGCAUGCAUGAGGCUCUGGGUUCAAUUCCUAGUAU
rnacentral:tRNA from 1 species